UAACAGGAAGCAGCUUGCUGCUUCGCUGACGAGUGGCGGACGGGUGAGUAAUGUCUGGGAAGCUGCCUGAUGGAGGGGGAUAACUACUGGAAACGGUAGCUAAUACCGCAUAAUGUCGCAAGACCAAAGAGGGGGACCUUCGGGCCUCUUGCCAUCGGAUGUGCCCAGAUGGGAUUAGCUUGUUGGUGGGGUAACGGCUCACCAAGGCGACGAUCCCUAGCUGGUCUGAGAGGAUGACCAGCCACACUGGAACUGAGACACGGUCCAGACUCCUACGGGAGGCAGCAGUGGGGAAUAUUGCACAAUGGGCGCAAGCCUGAUGCAGCCAUGCCGCGUGUAUGAAGAAGGCCUUCGGGUUGUAAAGUACUUUCAGCGGGGAGGAAGGGAGUAAAGUUAAUACCUUUGCUCAUUGACGUUACCCGCAGAAGAAGCACCGGCUAACUCCGUGCCAGCAGCCGCGGUAAUACGGAGGGUGCAAGCGUUAAUCGGAAUUACUGGGCGUAAAGCGCACGCAGGCGGUUUGUUAAGUCAGAUGUGAAAUCCCCGGGCUCAACCUGGGAACUGCAUCUGAUACUGGCAAGCUUGAGUCUCGUAGAGGGGGGUAGAAUUCCAGGUGUAGCGGUGAAAUGCGUAGAGAUCUGGAGGAAUACCGGUGGCGAAGGCGGCCCCCUGGACGAAGACUGACGCUCAGGUGCGAAAGCGUGGGGAGCAAACAGGAUUAGAUACCCUGGUAGUCCACGCCGUAAACGAUGUCGACUUGGAGGUUGUGCCCUUGAGGCGUGGCUUCCGGAGCUAACGCGUUAAGUCGACCGCCUGGGGAGUACGGCCGCAAGGUUAAAACUCAAAUGAAUUGACGGGGGCCCGCACAAGCGGUGGAGCAUGUGGUUUAAUUCGAUGCAACGCGAAGAACCUUACCUGGUCUUGACAUCCACGGAAGUUUUCAGAGAUGAGAAUGUGCCUUCGGGAACCGUGAGACAGGUGCUGCAUGGUUGUCGUCAGCUCGUGUUGUGAAAUGUUGGGUUAAGUCCCGCAACGAGCGCAACCCUUAUCCUUUGUUGCCAGCGGUCCGGCCGGGAACUCAAAGGAGACUGCCAGUGAUAAACUGGAGGAAGGUGGGGAUGACGUCAAGUCAUCAAGGCCCUUACGACCAGGGCUACACACGUGCUACAAUGGCGCAUACAAAGAGAAGCGACCUCGCGAGAGCAAGCGGACCUCAUAAAGUGCGUCGUAGUCCGGAUUGGAGUCUGCAACUCGACUCCAUGAAGUCGGAAUCGCUAGUAAUCGUGGAUCAGAAUGCCACGGUGAAUACGUUCCCGGGCCUUGUACACACCGCCCGUCACACCAUGGGAGUGGGUUGCAAAAGAAGUAGGUAGCUUAACCUUCGGGAGGGCGCUUACCACUUUGUGAUUCAUGACUGGGGUGAAGUCGGAACAAGGUAACCGUAGGGGAACCUGCGGUUG
rnacentral:rRNA from 1 species